CUGGUCAAUAUAAAAAAAUCAAAAUUAAUUCAUAAUUAAAACUAAUGCAGAAUAUUUUACAUAUGGUUGUCUUCUGAUGUGAUUGACUUUAUUGUUCUAGCCUCUUCUUUUAAAUGCUCCAAAGUGUUUUUUUUACCAUAUUCACCAUAUUCUGGUGGAUGACUUCAGAAAAGCAGUAGCCACAAGAAGGCUUGUGCUCACAAAUCACUUAAUAUUGGGUGCCAGGGACUAAUGUUUUGGGAAAUCCCUUAGAGCAUUUCUAUAAUCUAAAGGUUCACAUUCACAAGCUAUAUAUAACCAUGAUGCUUCAAACCUGGACAACUAACUUUUGACGCUAAAUCAGAUCAGUUUACCCUUGAUUCAAAAAGGUUACCUUGGCAAAUUAAAAAAUAA